rnacentral:rRNA from 1 species
GACGAACCGAGCGAACGUUGUUCGGAAUCACUGGGCUUAAAGGGCGCGUAGGCGGGCUGCCAAGUCUGGGGUGAAAUCCCACGGCUCAACCGUGGAACUGCCUCAGAUACUGGCGGCCUCGAGGGAGGUAGGGGCAUGCGGAACUAUGCGUGGAGCGGUGAAAUGCGUUGAUAUGCAUAGGAACUCCGGUGGCGAAGGCGGCGUGCUGGACCUCUUCUGACGCUGAGGCGCGAAAGCCAGGGGAGCAAACGGG